GAACGCUGGCGGCGUGCUUAACACAUGCAAGUCGAACGAGAAUCAUAGGAAGGAGAUUUCGGCCAACGGACUAUGAGGACAGUGGCGAACGGGUGAGUAACGCGUGAGGAACCUGCCUUUCAGUGGGGGACAACAGUUGGAAACGACUGCUAAUACCGCAUAAUACUUUCGAGCGGCAUCGUUUGAAAGUCAAAGAUUUAUUGCUGAAAGAUGGCCUCGCGUCUGAUUAGCUGGUUGGUGAGGUAACGGCCCACCAAGGCGACGAUCAGUAGCCGGUCUGAGAGGAUGAACGGCCACAUUGGGACUGAGACACGGCCCAGACUCCUACGGGAGGCAGCAGUGGGGAAUCUUCCGCAAUGGACGAAAGUCUGACGGAGCAACGCCGCGUGAACGAUGACGGCCUUCGGGUUGUAAAGUUCUGUUAUACGGGACGAAUGGCGUAGCGGUCAAUACCCGUUACGAGUGACGGUACCGUAAGAGAAAGCCACGGCUAACUACGUG
rnacentral:rRNA from 1 species